GGCCUUAUAGCUCAGUGGUAGAGCAUACGAUUGCAGAUCGUGUUGUCCCGUGUUCGAACCACGGUGGGGCCU
rnacentral:tRNA from 1 species